AUGCACGCUGGCGGCGUGCCUAAUACAUGCCAGUCGAGCGAACGGACGAGAAGCUUGCUUCUCUGAUGUUAGCGGCGGACGGGUGAGUAACACGUGGAUAACCUACCUAUAAGACUGGGAUAACUUCGGGAAACCGGAGCUAAUACCGGAUAAUAUUUUGAACCGCAUGGUUCAAAAGUGAAAGACGGUCUUGCUGUCACUUAUAGAUGGAUCCGCGCUGCAUUAGCUAGUUGGUACGGUAACGGCUUACCAAGGCAACGAUGCAUAGCCGACCUGAGAGGGUGAUCGGCCACACUGGAACUGAGACACGGUCCAGACUCCUACGGGAGGCAGCAGUAGGGAAUCUUCCGCAAAGGGCGAAAGCCUGACGGAGCAACGCCGCGUGAGUGAUGAAGGUCUUCGGAUCGUAAAACUCUGUUAUUAGGGAAGAACAUAUGUGUAAGUAACUGUGCACAUCUUGACGGUACCUAAUCAGAAAGCCACGGCUAACUACGUG
rnacentral:rRNA from 1 species